UCAAGAAGCUACAUCAUCACAUAGCUUGAUCUCCUCAGAUCUCAAAAGCUAAGCAAAGCUGGGCCUGGUCAGUACAGGGAGGGAGAUCUCUAGGGAAAACCAGAUUGCUGCUUAAG
rnacentral:rRNA from 1 species